rnacentral:misc_RNA from 1 species
CAGGGUUAAACUUAGUUUAACCUAUCAGCUGUGUGCUGAUUCGUUUUUUUUGGUUGCAAAAAAAUAAUUAAACGCAAAGUCUUGUAAUUUAAUUUUUACUUAAAAAAUGGAUAUUUCCUCUGACGAAAGUGAUUAUAGUGACGCGGCAGUAAGUGAAAUACUUACGAUUACUAUACUGAGGAGAAAAAGAGUCAUAUGUACUCAAGAAUGAUAGAAUACAAAGAUUGCGCCGAUAGGGGUGCAAAAAUUUUUCGUUCUGCGCAUCUACGUCAUAAUAUAAAAGUUGUUGUUGGCGAUCUGUCAAAUCGCAUACAAUUUCGACGAAAAAAAGUAAAUAUAGCAUAAAAUUUAGUCGAAAGACUAAAAUAAAACAAUCUGGUGGCAAUUUAUUGAAUCGAGAAGACGGUAAAUUUAUUUUGUGUUUCUUUUACAUUAUUUAUAUUAUUAUUUUAUUUCAGGUGAGUAGGGCGUUCAAAUAAAAAUUGCAUUCUGUGGCCGCCGUUGCGCUGGCAAAUGGAACGAGUAAGAUUUCCAAAUGAAAUUGAAGCCACAGCAAAUAGUGCAUAGCUCCAAGGCUUGGAAACAAAUAUAGAAGCUAUAUGAUGCCAGAAAGACUACAGAGAAUCGAAGAGCGCUAACCAGGAAACAGCGUAAAAGGGCCAAUUCGUUGAGCAAGGGCGUGCUCAUAGCAUGGAAAUACAAUGCAAACGGUGCCAACAUAAAAUUAAACUGCCAAGGCAUAAGCAAGAAAUUUUACCUGAAACUGUGACGCCUGCCCACAGCAUCAAAUAAGGAUAUCGUUCCAAUGAAACCCAAUAUUAACGACGUAUUUUGACGACGAUGAACUCUUUGCGAACGCUCCGGGUUUUCAUCACCGGGCUUGUAAAUUGAUGGCACGGGGCCUCGUUUCAACAAUCUUCUUUUUGCAUAACCUUAGAAAUGUUUUAAACACUUUCAUUAAUAUAAACACAAUAAACGAAAUAAAUAAACAUCCUACCCACUUCAAACUGCAGACUAUUUUCAAAAUCUUCACUUGCAAAGUGAUGCAUGCAAAUAUAGCAAGUUUUAAAUUGGAAAUCCUUGCUUUGCCGGCAGAACUGGAUCCACUUUUUCCUAAGUUCUGGAUCUGAAGGAAAAGUAAACAAACUGCACUCUGCCGCCGUUUUUCCACAUUUCGCAACUGCGCACUUCAUUUUACAACGUUUUUAUUUUAUAACUUUAACAAAAAUAUCACAAAUCAAUACGUUUUCCUCGCAAACCAAUACGUUUCCCUCGCAAACCAAUACGUUUCCCUCGCAAACCAAUACGCUUCCCACCAAAAAUUUUAUAUUAUGACGUCAAAACUCGAACAGCUGAUUUGUAAACAAGAGUAACGGACCUGCGCAAAGCGCAAUCUCUUUAUUCUAUCAUUCUUGAUAUGUACUCACCCGAAUCAUUUUAAUAUUUUUGAUGAAAAAGAUUUUUUUGAACGCUUUCGCCUGACAAAAGCAUCCGCUUACAGCGUUUUGGAGCUUAUCGGAGAGCACAUCAGGCACCCGACAAAUUGGAAUCACGCAUAGACAGAGGAACAAAUGCUACUUAUCACCCUACGGGUAUAUGCAGCUGGUGGAAUGCUUCAAACAAUUGGCGAUUUGUUCGGAAUAUCGAAGUCAACGGUGUCUAAAGUGGUAACGUUGGUGUCACACCAUAUAGCUCUGCUGAGGGCUCGUUUCAUUAAAUUCCCAGAAAGCGAUACGGAGAAACUUGAAACCUAUAAAGGAUUCUUCAAAAUUGCUAAGUUUCCCACAGUGAUAGCAGCUUUGGAUUGCACACACAUAAAGAUAAUUUCGCCAGGUGGUGAAAACCCGGAGCUAUAUCGGAAUAGAAAGGGAUUCUCUUCCAUCAACGUUCAAACCACAUGUGACGCUAGUCUUAAAAUAACAAAUAUUGUGGCUCGCUGGCCAGGUUCUGCUCAUGAUUCAAACAUAUUAAGGAAUUCUAGGAUGUACUCACGUUUUGAAAGCAGUGAUUUCGGUGACAGUUUAAUUAUUGCAGAUAGUAGACACCCGAACAAAAAAAGGCGUGAGUACUAGGUAUUCAUGAAAUUUGAUGUGUAUACAUAUGCGAACGGCAAAGCAUAAA